rnacentral:rRNA from 1 species
AAUAGAUACCCGGGUAGUCCACGCCCUAAACGAUGUCAACUAGCUGUUGGGGUUUAUUAACCUUAGUAGCGCAGCUAACGCGUGAAGUUGACCGCCUGGGGAGUACGGUCGCAAGAUUAAAACUCAAAGGAAUUGACGGGGACCCGCACAAGCGGUGGAUGAUGUGGAUUAAUUCGAUGCAACGCGAAAAACCUUACCUACCCUUGACAUGUCUGGAAUCCCGAAGAGAUUUGGGAGUGCUCGCAAGAGAACCGGAACACAGGUGCUGCAUGGCUGUCGUCAGCUCGUGUCGUGGGAUGUUGGGUUAAGUCCCGCAACGAGCGCAACCCUUGCCAUUAGUUGCUACAUUCAGUUGGGCACUCUAAUGGGACUGCCGGUGACAAACCGGAGGAAGGUGGGGAUGACGUCAAGUCCUCAUGGCCCUUAUGGGUAGGGCUUCACACGUCAUACAAUGGUCGGGACAGAGGGUUGCCAAGCCGCGAGGUGGAGCCAAUCGUCAGAAACCCGAUCGUAGUCCGGAUCGCAGUCUGCAACUCGA